UUACUACUCCCUCCGUUCCGAAUUACUCGUCGCAGAAAUAGAUGUAUCUAGAUGUAUUUUAGUUCUAGAUACAUCCAUUUUUGCGACGAGUAAUUUGGAACGGAGGGAGUAUUUU
rnacentral:pre_miRNA from 1 species